UUGUUUUAUAUACACAGAUUAAAUUCCCUGUCACCUUAUGGUUUAAACAUGAAUUUAGACUUAUCCUGUUUUUUGUAAUUGUGGUGCCCUAAUUAAGCGUGAUGAGUGCCAGAUAGUGGCUGAUUAGGAGGUUCAGCAGCUGAGAAUGAUUGAGAGUGUUAUAAAACUGGAGUAAGACAGCUUGGUCAGUUCAUCCGAGCAGGCUUUAUAAGACUGGGUGUCAGCUUGGGCAGCAGUUUGUGAACCGUUGCACCUUUUGGUGUUAGAACAUAGGCUUGCAUGCAGACAGUUCCAGGUACACUCCCUGGCAUUUCUGGAGCUGGGAAAGACUGCUGCCUGAAACCUAGGAUAGCUGCUGCCAAUGGUGAUGAAGCAGCACUGGAAGUGAAACCCCUCCUUGUGGCUAACUCUAGCUGCUAUUUUUGCUCCUUGGAUGGAAUAAUUACAUCAAAGAUACCCCAGGAAUACUACUACUACUACCACAACCACCACCACUACUAUUAAUACUACCACUACUGUUUUAUUGCUUUUCAGUAAGAGUGCUUGAAGCAAUUUACAUGGAAAAAUUGAUAAUAAAUAAAUAAGAUGCCCCCUGUUCCAUAAGCGUUCACAGUCUAAAAGAAAUAUGGUAGAUACUGGUAACAGUCACUGUAGGGAUGCUGUGCUGGGGUUGGUGUUGGAAUAGUGCUAUAUUAUGAUGUAGCACCAUUAUGAGGGGAGCUGCAGCAAAGAAAAGGUAGCUGGGCAGAGCUGAGGAAGAGGUCUAGUACUGCCAGUGCUGCUUCUGCACCACUCGCAAAGGCACAGAAUGAACUAGAAAAAGUAGGGAUGUGAGAACAGGCUUGACCUUGAGCUGGUUUUCCAUCAAGAUGGCCUGGUCUAAUGGCUUGCCA